AAAAUUACUCUUUCUUGAGUUGAUUUUCAUCUCUUUUUCUCAUUUUCCAAUAAUCCUGCAAGUAAGCACAUUUUAUCAGUUCUCGGGAAGACCUUUAAGAGUUUUUGAGCUAAAACAAAAAUAAAAGGGUGCAAAUAAGUGGUCAAAAUUCCUACUUAUCAACUCCCCGAAACUUAAUAUUUUGCUUGUCCUCAAGCAAAUAAGGUCAUUCCCACCUUCACAAGAGAAGAUAUAUUUUAGCUAGCCUAAGGUGAAUCAAACACUCAUCAAUUGGGACCAACAAUUACCCACAACACUUAUGAAUUAACAAUAAGGCAAUGAUUUGACUUUACAAGUACAAUAGUUCAAAUGUGACACUAGAGCAUCAAGAGUUGACUUUAUUCAUCAAGGAAGCUUGCUCUUUCAUUUAGGUCAAUGUGGAUCCCAAACUCCUCCUCAUCUACUCUCCGUUGGCAUAUCUCACUUAAGAAUGUUGCACAAAAUUCAAGGAUUUAUGAAAAGUUUGAUUAUCUCUCUCAAAAGAAUAUCACAAGUACGGCUCUAAGUACCGUAUGCUUGCCCCUCAUGUAAAUCACUACUAGUGUAAGUUCACUCGGCUUGAAAUCAUGUAGGUCUUUGUGGAAUGUAAUGAAGGCUAUUGGACAAAGGUAGAGCAUGAUGGAAUAGAAACGGGUUCAUCUUUCCUUAAGCACUCCAUUUUGCUUUUUUUUUUGCUCAUGUUUUGGCGACUCUUUGAGUCAUUAACUUUUUUCUUAGGGAAACUAGAGAGACUUAACAUCACUCUUUCUCGGUCAUGAUGAUAAUUUUCUCUUUCUUUGUUUUCUCCAUGCUUUGAAUCAUUGCUUUACUUUGAACCCCUUCAACUCUUCACUUUAUUCACUUUCUUUUUGCAUUUUUCUUUUGUUCAUUCUUUCUUUUUCUUCGCAUUUCGUUUUAUUUAUUUCUUCUCUUUUUGUGCCUUUAUACCACUUUCAAACUCCUCGUCUCUCCCCCAAACUUACGUUUUAGCCAAUUACUACUCAAGAGUGAUAAAGAAAGCUAGGUUGCCAAGAGAGGGUCACUACAAAAUAGGUAAAGACUUGUAAAGUGGAUAACAAAUGAGAAAGGUAUUAGGCUCAAACGGGUUGACUAGGAAUAGCAACAUUGGUGGGACAUGGACAAUUUCAAGCAGGCCAAGGAGAGCCUACAAUCAUUUCUCAAGCCAAGCAAAACUUAGAACUUUUCCUAGAAACACAUUUGGGGCAAGUUCUAGACCAUUCGCACGGGUACUUGGACUUGCAACACAAAAUCUCACUUAUCACACAAUUGGAUUGUUAAAGAGGAUAGAGUCGAGGGCCUACAACAACCCUAUUCAAGAUUAAAAAUCACUAAUGGUUCAACUAAAUCACUUGAUGAUUGCUCAAGUCAACACAAGUGUCUAAAAGUCACUAAUUAGAGCUAUUUCUUCCCAAGAUCUUGUUUUUAACCAUAAGGUUGUCGUUAAAUGUAUUGGUACAAACUGAAUCAUGCUUGACCCUUUUUAUUCAUUAAUACUACUUUUUUUACCUAAACAUCAAACACGGACUCAAUCCCUUAAGAAGGUUGUCACGCCAUCCAUCGUUGGAAAGAGCCACUUGGUUCAUACAAAACUCACCUUUGGAAAAAGCACGAGAUGCACAACUUACGAGUAUAGUUCCAUUCCUUAAGGAAUGGCAUGAGCUCCACGGGGAUAAUGUUAGCGGUCCGCACCCAGACAAAGUGACUCAUCCACCCCCGAUCUCCGUCUUCCCCAUCAUCAAUAACAAAGGGCGUAGUCGAUCAGCAUCGCAAGGUCAGCGGACCUCGAUGGUGGAAGGGCCGGUACAGCCUGAUAAGGUGACUAAGAGUAAAGUCAAGCCCUGCCUUCUCCGCAAAAAAAUCUCAUCAUCAGAAAUGUUCGCCAAAAUGACGGAUGGAUAUGCGCCAAGGUAACCCGAUACUCUAAGCAGAAGUCGAGCACAACCCUAUCAAGGGAGCCCAAUGUGAAAAGGUAUGUGUACACAUUCAAGAAUCCAUUGGCACGAUCCGUGAUGCCCUCACCUGGAGGAAGUAUCUGUGGUACUACCUUUUCCCACCAUCCGCAGUGUUUUCUCACUAACCCAAGAUGUUCUUCUCCUAUUGGAGAAACAACCUUCAAGGCAUACUCUCAUUAGUCCUGAAUGCCGGAGAGGGAGCUCUCCCCUCCCUGUCGGACGGACCCCGACAUAGCAGCCAUGGCUAUGACAAAAUUAGAAAACUAAAGCGGGGAUAUAUGCAAGUGCGUUAGUGCUGGAGUAACGAAAGGCUAGCACAGAAAAAGAAGAGACCAACUGCUUAAAGUGGUGGGAUAUCCUAAAAGCAAAAAACGUCCAUGUAUAUAUAUGGAAACCAUCCUCUGCCUCAAAAUCGGCUAAAAGCACCAUCGCUAGUCCCGAGGUGGUACCCAACCUUGAGGACCUCCAUCAGGACAAGGCUAGGCUCCAGGAAGUCGAUGAUGCCUUUGCCAACAUCAAGGUGGUACCCGACCUCGAGUAUCUCCAUCAAAAAGAAGUUAGGCUCUGAAAGGCCAACAACAUAAUUGCUAGUCCCGAGGUUGUACCCGACUCGAGGAUCUCCAUCAAAGGAAAGUUAAGCUCUAGGGAGCCGCCAACAUCGCCAGUCCUGAGGUGGUACUCGACCUCGAGGACCUCCAUCAGGACAAAUCUAGGCUCUAGGAAGCCGAUGACGCCUUUGCCAGCACCGAGGUGGUACCCGACCUCGAGGAUCUCCAUCAAAGGGAAGGUUAGGCUCCAGGAAGCCAACGACAUCAUUGCAAGACUUGAGGUGGUGCUCGACCUCGGGGGCUUUUUGUCAAAAGGGAAUCAGGUUCCAAGGAAAUAAGCAUUUAAACUCCACACUUAUGGGCUUGGCCUCGGGAUACCGUCCAAGAUUGGACAAACCCUCUUUCAAGAUCUAUCUACAGCGCCUUAAGACUAUUUACACUAAGCCCAAAGAAAGUUCACAGGCCUCCGAGCAAAUUUCUUCUCAAAGGUUACCACGAAAUUUAAGUAAUAAUUCAUGGUUUCAAGGCCCAAAAUGCUACUUUCAUUCUACUCGAUGUCAAGGUCCCAGCGACCCGAGUUCAUCGGUCGGAUCUAGAUUCGAUCCAAGGGAUUGCAAAAGGUCCCGCGCGAGGCGAUAUUAUUCGACCGAAGGCCAGAAAGAAUACUCACACCCGGGUUCGAUAUGGUCAUUAACCAAUAGAAUCACGCAUUCGGAAUCUCCGUGAACAUAAAUGAAAGGGAGUACAGCAAGCAUCAGAGACACAAUUACAGAAAUAUGUUUGCAUUCACUUACAUAUGAUUACAAAAGCCCACGAGGGGUCCUUACACGGAAACAAAAAAGCAGGAAGGUGUACAUAUAGUAAAAGCCUAAGAGCCUAGCCUAUUCUCAAAGGUGCAUCCUUGGCAGCAACAUUUUCGGGCAUCAUCUCCUCAGGCACGUGUCCUCAAAGGCAAAGUCUUUGUUCUGAGGAUGAAGAGAGUGAUGACUGCCCGCUGGUACUUAGGGGGAGAAGAAGUGCUGCUACCUCAAAAUCUAUUGAGUUGAAGGUGACUGAGUCGGAGGCUGCUGGAACUGUGGCCGCCGAGGUGGUCCCGUCCCGAACUGAGGGAAUUGUUAGAGGGGGCUUAGACGAAGUCCCCGGGCUAACAAACGACCAAAGCACAUUGAGUGCCGAGGGGCACCUGGUUGAUGAAGCCGAAGAAACUAAUGAUGAAGCCCCUCGUAGGAGGGAGAGAUCCCCAUCGACCCAGUCGAGGUGAUCAAUAUAGAUGAUUUUUUGUCGGGCCCAUCAUUCUAUCCUAGGCAAAUACGGGAUGCCCAAGAUGUGAAAACUCCCAUCGUGAGGGCAUCCCCCGGAGAGAAUAGUGUGUUUGAAGGAUAUUUUGUUGGGGUUGAGGAAGGCCCCGAUAUCGAUGCAUCAUUGAUCUUUGAAGAAGCCGAGAAGCUUCGACAACAGGUAAUCUUGACUUGACCAUUGUAUUUUGGGUUUUGAUUCUUGUUUUUCCAACUCCCUUCUUCUGCGUUUUCAGGCAUUAAAGCUCUCCAACCAAGCCUUUUCCAAGUCACAAUUAGAGUUGGCCCGUUGUGAGGAUGAAUUAAGGAAACUCGUUUCUGAAUUAGACGAGCUUAAGGCCCUUUAUGCCCAAAAGGAGGGGGAGCUAGGUUACAUUUGAGCUUAUUUGGAGAGGAUAUCUCAAGAGCGGGCCAAUCUCGAUGAGUAGGUAAUACGACCUUCGUGGGCUUAUUUUUGCGCUUCAGUCAAUUGAGCGGUUGAUACCUUAAUUUGGCAUUUUUUGCUCAAGAAAAAAGAUGAUCUAGUGUGAGAGGAGCUUAGAGUCAGAGAUACCGAAAUCCUUGGGCUGAAGCAAUCAUGGAUGAGGUGUCUUCCGAUAAGGAAACUCUUCGAGAGAAGCUGACCUCGAUUGAGUGCCAACUUCAAGGGGCGAGGGGAGAAAGCCUCAAGUACAAAGAUCUCCAUUCUGAACUGGGUGCUGAGCUAUAUGCAGCUAAGUCAGAGGCCGCUGAGCUCAUGUCCUCCUACAGAAAAGAUGAUGCUACUGCAAAUGCUCAAGCCAGGAAGGUAUCCGAAGAAGCCGAGCUUAAACUAUCCCGAUCCUUGGAACAUGCCCGAUUAAGAUAUAGGAGACAGGCUCUUGAGGAUGUAUAUGUAGGGGGCAUCGAUUACCCUGCUAAGAUCGAGAGGGUGAACGCCCUAGAGGAAAAAUUGGAAGCUCUGCCAACUUCUGACGAUGGUUCAGCCAGCAGUUCGGCCAGCGGGUCUAAGGAAGAUGAAGGUGAAGAUGAAGUCCCCUAGGAGGAGGCUGGUGAUAUGCUGAGGGUCAAAAGUCAAGCCGUUGAAGGCACAACUUUUUAAGGGAGCUUUGUCCGAUCAAGUGACCUCGGUGGUAGAUUAGGUUUGUAUUCGUCCCCCACUUCUUUGUGUAUGAGCUCUAGGCAUGGGCCUUGUAAAUACGUCUUUUAUAAAUACAAGAAGUUCUUCAUUUUGCCUUUGAAUUAUAUUGAAUCUGAGUGUAUGACUCUAAUGAUCAGCCCUAGCACUAGACCCAGAACAUAAUAAACCCUUAGGUUUUUAAUUGGUUGAUGUGACACUUCUUAAAGUCCUUUGUUAUUCCUUGGACUAAGCUCUUGUUGUGAACUUAGGUCACCGAGUCUCGAUUUUUGAAGUAAAGCUAUCCCUUUUAGGCUUUGUUGAUAGUCCUCGAGUGAGAAUUUUCUCGAACUCGGGUGGACUUUGGGCUUGGCAACCGGGCGAGCGUUCGCUUGCCUAUUCGAAAACAAGGAUAGGUUUUAGAUUUUUACCAAUAGCCACCGAGUGAGGACUUACUCGAACUCGUGUAGCCUUUGGGCUCAAUAGUCUAGUGAGCGUUUGCUCGGACUUGAAGUAAAGAUAACCUUGAGGCUUUAUGAAUAGCCCCCGAGUGAGAACUGGCUCGAACUCGGGUAGCCCUUGGGUUAGUCAAUCAACCAUUUGCUCGAACUCGCAGUAAAGAUAGCCCUGAGGCUUUAUGAAUAGUCCCUGAUUGAGAGCUUGCUCGAACUUAGGUAGCCCUUGGGCUCUUAUGUAUUGGCCCUUAGGCUUUUUAGGCUAGCUCUUAGGCUCUUACGCGUUGGCCCUUAGGCUCUUUAGUCUGGCCGUUGGGAUCUUACACAUUGGCCCUUAGGAUUUUUAGGCUGGCCCUUAAGCUCUUAUGCGUUGGCCCUUAGGCUCUUUACGCUGGCCCUUGGGCUCUUACGCAUUAGCCCUUAAGCUUUUUAGGCUGGCCCUUAAGAUCUUAUGCGUUGGCCCUUAGGCUCUUUUUAGAUUUGCUCGAUGCGACCUCUAAUAUGGCUAUAGUUUUUCCCUCAUUUUGGCUAAAGACUUUUGAAGUUUUAAUUAUGCCUUGGCAUAUUUUAUGUUCGUCUGACUCUUCAAUGGCUCAAAUGAGAACCUCGAUUAUAAGUCGAUAUGUGACAAUAGUUGAGUACCUCGGGAGGCUCGAUAGAAGGUUGAGUUUUUGACACCUUUUCAUUGAAGGCUAACUAUUUUCGAAGCCUUUUUACUGUNNNNNNNNNNNNNNNNNNNNNNNNNNNNNNNNNNNNNNNNNNNNNNNNNNNNNNNNNNCCUUUUCAUUGAAGGCUUAAUUAUUUUCGUAAGCCUUUUUACUGUUCUGGAGCUGAUAUUUAUCGAAGCUGCUUUUACUUAUGCCGAGGGUAGCCUUGGUUAACCGGUUCUUUUCGAAGUACCUUCGAAGUAUUUGGAGGCCUUUAGCUUUAUGGCAGCUAUCGAACGUCUCCGAGCCACAUUAUUUCGGUCGGGGCCUCUUGAUCUGACCGUAAUAUUUUUGUUCGGCCGUAGACUUUAAUCCUCGGGUGCAGUGGCCUUGGCGUCCAUAUCGAGGGUAUGCCUUUUUAGGGGUUUUACAAGUUCAAAUAUAUUGCCUUGGCCUUCAUAUUGGGGUUAUGCCUUUUGAAGGUCUUAUAAAUUUGAGUAUGCCUCGUUGAGGUCUUAUAAGUUUGGGCAUGCCUUGUUGAGGUCUUAAGAUUCAAUGCGGACUCACUAAGGUCUUAGGAGCUCAUAAUUGCCUUAUUAAGGUCUUAAGAUUUCGAGUUUUCUAUGGCUUCGACGAGCUGACUGUCGAUGAAAGUCCCCGAGUGUUCGAGGAUUUUCUGCCCUUGAGCCGUUUUGCAUGAAAGUAUUGAAUUUCUUCGAGUGUUUUGAUAAGCAAAGAGGCUUCCUCAAUUAUUUGAUGUAUGUGUAGAUGUUUUUUGCCUUUGGAGGCCCAAUUAUUCUACAUGGACACGGUUCAUUCGACCGUUUGGCCCAAUACAUCAUUCUCCAAUCGGGGUCCUCCUAGGCAUAGUUUGAGUUCUUUGAAGAGGUGGCCUCACGGGGUGAUGCCCUCUAGUAUUUGAGGUAGAUUGAAGGUAAUCCUUGAAUACUUGACGAGUUCUCCUUAGGUAGCAUAUGGGUGUUGCCUCGUUAAAAACCUCGCUGGUAAAACCCGUUCGGGAUAAAAUCCAUUCUAAAGGAAAAAGAGCCCAAAGUAUGCUUUAAAACCCAAACUCUUCGAGCUGUAGGGCGCUUAGAUUCCUCUUAAUCGGACACCUAUAAUAAGUUAGUACAAAACAUAAAUGAAAAGGGAGAAGGUUGUACCUCAUCAUUGAUAGCUUUAGAGCUUUGAUCCGUUUUUUAUUGCUUGCUUUGAGGACGCGGCAUGGUCCUUCAUUUACUCAUUCGGGUGGAACCGAGAAUGUAGGUUGUGGUUGUUAUUUGUCUGUUUGCUUGUUUUUUGGCUUCUUCGAUGUAGAGGGCAUAGAUGUCAGCGCUACCUCGUGCAUCACAAACAUCUCUCUUGCUGUGUGCUGCUCCCUGUACACUAAUUUUACUGCAUCCUUGGUUGAAAACUUUAUUGUUUGAUGAAGUGUUGAGGGUACUGCCCUUAUACUGUGUAUCCACGACCUUCCAAGUAAGGAAUUGUAUCUCAUGUCACAUUCGAUGACAUGAAACUUGGUAUCUUGGAUUGUUCUGGCUACGUUGACUGGGAGGAUGAUUUCCCUUUUUAUUGUCUCGCUCGUCAUAUUGCAUCCAUUGAGGACUCGAGAGGCAGGUACGAUCUGGUCGAGCAGUCCGAGCUGCUCCACCACUCUCGACCUAAUUAUGCUAGUCGAGCUACCUGGAUCCAUGGGCACACGUUUAAUCAGAAUUUUAUUCAAAAGGAAAGAAAUUACCAGUGCAUCAUUAUGAGGCUGAGACAAGGUCUCGUUGUCCUCUUCGAUGAACAUGAGAGCAUCCUCUGGUAUGUAACUUCGAGUUCGCCUUUCCCUGGUGAUGGAUAUUUUUGUCCGUUUGAAAAUAGGUUCCUAUGGGGAGUCGUCCCUCCAACGAUCAUGUGGAUGACGUGUUGUGGUUCUUCUAGUUUGUUCUUUUUGUUCGCCUCUCUUUCCCGAAAUUGGUUUUUAGCUCGGUCACUAAGGAAUUCUCGAAGUUUCCUUUCGCUAAUCAGUCAGGCUAUCUCUUCUUGAAGUUGCCUGUAGUCCUCAGUCCUAUGAUCGUGAGUGCCAUGAUAUUUACACAUCAAGUUAGGGUUCCUCUAUGAAGGGUCUGAUAGUACGGGUUUUAACCACCUAGAAUCUUUGAUUAUCCCUAUGGCCGAUACGAUGCCCGAGAUAUCGAUGUUGAAGUUGUACUCAGAUAGUUGGGGUGCCUCUACCGUCCCAAUGUGCCUAUAGAACCUGGCUUUGCUCAUGAGUCCCCGGGAAUUUUGAUCUCGAUCUAUCCUUCGAUACCUCGAGACAUGUUACGCCUUGGUGCGUUUCUUCGAUCUUCUGCAUACGGCUGGUAUCUUUCUUUGUUUGAUCUUGGAUCCCUUUCUGUAAACCUUUGCUCCUUUGUAAAGAGCCUGUUGGGAUAUACUAAGCCCAAAGGGGCUCCUAGUUGGUCAUCUUUGACCCUAAUCUUUGAUUGAUACCUAUUGUGUACGGAUAUUCGAUCAAAUUUUGUUUUAACUGCCUUGAAGCUAUCGAGCUUCGUUCGUUCAAGCCUUGAGUGAAGGCCUGUACUGCCCAGUCAUCGGAGACUGGUGCUAAUUCCAUUCGCUCCAUCUGAAAAUGAGAUACGAAAUCCCUUAGCGUCUCAUUCUCUCUUUGUUUGAUUUUGAAGACAUCAGACUUCCUGGUAGCGACCUUGAUGGCACCAGCAUGUGCCCUCACAAAAGACUCUGCCAACAUGGCAAAAUAAGUCUAUUGAAUUUGGGGGCAGGUUAUGAUACCACAUCAUAGCCCCUUUCGACAGUGUUUCUCCAAAUUUCUUCAACAGGACAGACUCUAUCUCGUCAUCCUUUAAGUCAUUUCCUUUUACAACACAAGUAUAAGUUGUGAUGCGCUCAUUGGUGUCUGUGGUCCCGUUAUACUUCAGGAUAUCGGGCAUUCUGAAUUUCUUUAGGAUGUGCUUUGGAGCUGCACUUGAUGGGAAUGGCCUCUGCACAAAUUUUUUUGAAUUUAUACCCUUCAGGAUCGGGGGCGCGCACGGGAUCUAAUCGACCCUCGAGUUAUAAGUCUCCACCCUUUUUAUCGUUAUCUUCUAUCUUCUUUUCUCCUGAUUCAAUUCUUUUGGUGAGAUCCUUGAGCAUCUUCGUAAUAGUAGGGUUUGUUGCAGACCCGUUAUUAAUCUCUCCGGUACCUGCUCGACUCGAGGAGCAGUUUCUGGUGCUACUGUGCUUGGGGUUUUUUGGUGGCUUUGUAGCUGAGCAAUAGCCACUUGUUGUGCUUGCAACAUUUCAAAAAUGACUUGAAAACUAAUGUCUCUUUCCUCACCGCGCACACUUAGAGAGCUUACAUCAACAUGUACCACGUACCGCGAACUCACGUCGAUGGGGAUUUGUGCUAGUGCCUCCCCUAGGUUUUGCGAUGGUAAACCGGCAUCUGCUGGUGCUACCCCUGGGUUUUGCAGUGGUAAACCGACAUCUGCAUCAUUCUCUCCUUGAAGCCCAAUACCGUUGUUUUCACGUGCAUUUGCUGAGUUAGACAUUUUUGACCUAAAAUUAGAAAUUCUUGGACAAGAAAAAGUGUGAAGAAUAACUUGUGUUUUCAGAAAACUAGCACCAAAACAAUCACUAUUAUUCUUAGCCCCAUGGUGGGCGCCAAACUAUUUACCUUGAAAAUGGUAACUACAAUUAUAUUUGAUUUUAUGGUUCUAAAAAUAUGUGAUUUAUCUUAAUACUAGUUGUUAAGUAAUAGAUGAUAGGUGUAAGUAAAGAAAAUAAGAAAUGCAAACUAAUAGGAUCACAAGGCAGGGCCUCGAACUGGCUGGAGUAGAGUCUCGAGGUCUAGAUGGGGCUAAUAGCGAUGAACAAUUGAUGAAGAAUAAAUGAUAAUGAGGGCCUCAAGGAUGGCCGUUUGCGGUUAAUAAUGAGCAAUAAAUGAAGAACAAUGAAUGAACAAUGAAAGAAUAUGCAAUAAAUGUGAAGAACAAUUGUGUUAGCAAAGAGCAGAGAAUGUUGUAUUAUAUUCAAUAUAUUGUGUAAUAAUCGAAUCCUUUUACAAGAUGACAAGGGUCCCCUUUAUAUAGGAUGAGGAAUCCCAACAUAGUACAUGUCUAAUAAUAACGAAGAAAUGCUACUAAUACAGCUGUAUAACGGCUCAGUAUGGAUUUGCACUAUUCUUGCAGACUCUGUUAGUCCUCAUCGUGUGCCCUCGGGGGUUUCCUAACUUUCCAUAUCAGACAUCUAUUUUUGUACUACCUCGAGGUACACCAUGAUGAGUCUUUGAUGUACCCUGUCGAGGCGAGUGCUUCGAGGAUGGGUCGUGGAUCGUGCUUUGAUCCCAACGAGGCCGAGCUUGAACUGCCACAAAAGUCUCAAAUCAAUCUUCCCUGAUUUUGACUAUAUACAAUGAGGCCUUCUCGACUUUGAAAUCAUCUGCGAUUGAGCAAUCCCUGGGUAUAAAGCUUUUCAUGGGGGGCUCGGGGGUAGCCUCGAGAGUAGCUGCCUCGAGAGCAGCCACCUCGGGAGCAGCCACCUCGGCAUUUAUGGCCAGGUGGUAAGAUGAAGAGGCAGCCUGCUGAGGAACUGAUUUGGAAGUUCUAGCCAUUACUAUUUGAGAAAAUUUGAAAAUUUAAAGGAAAAGUAUGAAGAUUUGAAGGAACAAGUUUGAAGGCUGAAGAAAAGAGUAUGAAGAUUUGAAGGAUGAAGAUCUGUGUAGGAAUCUAAGAACAAUUAUGAAGAUUUGAUGAUCAAAGUUGAAGAUAUAAAGGUUAGAAAGAGUUGGUAAUCACUGGAAAAUUCAAAAGUGGAAGCUUGGAUCGUAAAGUAGAAAGAGUAAAAAGGGUAGAAGCUUUUAUAGGGGAAGUACGCGACGUUUCGUAUUAGAAGGCAACCAGCCAAUGAACGACAGGUGUACGAAAUCAAAACGACGCGAAUAAUGAGAUGUUUCGGCCUAUCCUUCAUCUUAGUUGUGACAUGCGAGGGAAGGAACCAGGGUUCAUCUAUCAUCUCCUAUCAUUUCGGAAAACCUAUUAUUUGGAAAACGAGGGGACUAUCUGUGUAUAAGUUAAACUGAGGGUAACUGUUUACCGUGAAAAUGGUAACAACAAUUAAAUUUGUAAAUGGGAUUCUAAAAAUAUGUGAUCUAUUUUUAUGCUAGUUGUUAGAGCAGAUGAUGCUAGGAAUAUGAAGUUUAAUGAUGAAAUACAAGCUAAAACGAGGCAGUAAUCCAACCUAGAGGCCUGCUUCCCGGGUAUAGGACUGGUCGCUGGGGGACCUCGGGGUCGAUAUCCGGGUCGAGCUCGAGCUAUCGGGGAUAGUCGGGAAUGGGAUAACAGUUAGGUUAUGAUCAAACAAAGCUCUAUAUUGUCAAGGUUAUGAGAUAAAUAAAGAACAAGUAAGAAAGCGAUAAAUGCUAAAGUGGCCUCAAGCCAGGGAGAGCAAGCGAGUUAGAGAGAAGAGAGAGAAAGAUAUUAUUGAUCUUAUGGAGAAAUAGUUGGACCAACAUCGGCCAGGGGCUUACAAAGUGAUGGGGACCCCCUUUAUAUAUGAGGGGAAUCCGUCAUAAUACAAAACGUGUUAACCGUAAAGGUACGAGAUGGGAUGGCUAAACAUGAUAUCUUGAAAAUAGUCCCCGGAUAGACCAGCCUUGUUAGGUCAAGACGCGUGCCUUGGGGACUCCCCCCUUGCCUGUUGUAGCCCGAUGUAUUUGUCAGAAUGCGAUGCCCUUCGAACCGAUAUCUGUCGAACCCCGAGGAUGUGUCUCGACCUUGGCUUCGAUCUUCGAGGGGCAUGACCACGAACGGCCUUAUGAUGGGGCAAUCUGGUCCCCCGAAUUCGCCGUCGACAAAUAGUCUCCACGUUUCUUAGAGUGAAGGCGACAAGAAACGAUAAGAAAUGGUUCUGAAAUCCUGCUUCCUCUGGUGUCCUUGUGAACGAUUACGAGAUAUCGAGGUACACUAUGUGCACCGUUCCUGCAGAUUUCAGCAUUGACUGCGGCGAUUGGCUUCCUUCAAUGUACCCAUGGCACUUUUAUAAAUGCUCACCUCUUCCUUUCUAGAUUCCAUAUCAUGUUCAAAAACCCUUAGUGAGGUCUAUUUUCCCUCGUUCUCGCUUUCCUUUAGGAACGCAACCCCCCUUUUCUUCUACCCUCAGAUUUUCUCAAGGAUGAUGAAUAUUUCUACUUCUGCAUCCCAAGAGGUUGGGGGCUCAUCUUCUUCGUUUUUCUCUCAAGUCAAAGUAGACACUCCCCCCGUGCCGAGGAGUGCGACCCGGGACCCUUUGUGAUGACCUCCGAUUUUAGGGUCGAGAGACCCUCCUCGAAGUCAGGACACCGCGAGCCUGUAACUCGAUAUAUUAGCUCUAUAAUGGAUAUUGAAAGAGUAAAGCCUGACUGUUGCUGGGGAAAUACCGUGCUCGUGGAGAUUCCCACUCGGGAUGAAGAUAUUACGGCUCAUAGGGCCGGCUUUCUGAGUGUGUACACCUACCCAUUCACUAUGGGGCCAGUGGGGCCAUCCUCGACCCCUAUUGACCCUGUGAUUCUCAACUUCUGUCGGAGUUACCAGGUAACUUUGGGUCAAGUUCAUCCUUUGUUAUGGCGUGUGGUUCAUAUGAUCAGGCAUUACUCGAGCAUGGAAGAGGGAAUGCUCUUCACCCUGAACCAUUUGAUCUGGAUGUAUAGUCCUUGUCUCCCUUACGGGGGCUUAAUCAAGCUUCGUUGUCGAGCCCCGAGAUCCCUUUUUGCCUCCACUAAGGAGUUCGGGGACGACAGGUGGUUAAGCCGAUUCGUCCGAGUGAGGACGUCUGACCUGAUCCUAGUGGAAAAGAUGUCGUUCCUUGAGAAUUGGAACAUCGGGCGUACGUAAACGUGGUGUCUUUGCCCCUUCUUGUUGAUUUCUCCUUGUGCAUCUAACUUUGCUUUUCUUGUCUUUUUAGCCGUAGCAAUCUAUCCUGGCGCCUUGUCGUAUCUCUAGGGUUGGGUUGUUCGUUUGUACUCAACCUGCCUGUAUACCGAUCGAGCAUGGCGGGAUUUAUCCCGAGCCCGGUGGGAAGCCAAAGACCAUGGUGAGCCUUGAGCCUUGAUGCAUCCGUGCAUUUUGACAUUGCUAGUUGUUAGUAGCUUUCUUCGUCCCGUGCAUUUAACCUCUGCAUCUAUGUAGGUCUAGGAGGAAUCCCGCUGACGAGGGAGGUGCCGUCCGUUGGAGAGGACGCUCUGAUGCUUCACGAGGAGAAGAAAAUGCAGGAGAGCCUAUCGGCUGAGCCACCGGAGCUCAAGAGGAUCAAGGUGGAGGAUUCUAAGGUUGACCCAUCGGUUCCGACCUCCGGGGGCGACGGGAAAUCCUUGUGCUGAAGGUGAGGGAGAAAGCGGUUUCUUGGCACCCCCCCGGAAGAGUGUUUGGGAUCGAUUGAUCCUCGGGUCGUGGGGACAGAUGCUUCCGGACAGGAGUCUGAUGGUGGCGCGGCCCACCUUUAUGGCGGUGAGGCAAUGGAUGGGGUAUCGAGCACUGCCCUUGAAUUGGCAGGUGGCCGGAGUCCUCCUCGAGCCGGGACGCCCUUGGCAGGCAGUUUGGAGGGGCCUCGAUUUAGGACCCGAGAUGAACAAAGGACGGAUAUUUUGGCUGACCCCGUUAGCCCAUUGGUUAUUGUUGAUUCUCCUAAGAGGGAGAUCCUUCCAUCUCACGAAAUGCUAGACGAGUCUCGCAAGGAGCCUUCCGCGGUAGGAGCACUGAUCAAAGGUAGGGACGCACUCGAGAGGCCAGCGAUCAUUUUUGAGGAUAGUUCUGAGGCCAACGCCUCAUUCAUUUUUGGCGAGAUGGGAAAGCUUUGUGAGCGGGUAAAUUCUGCUAGCCUUGUCUACUGCUUCGGGCUGCUCCGACCUUUAUUCUCCUGACUUUUUUAUGCGGUUUCAGGCCGAAGCACUUUAUAACCAGGCUCUUGCCCAGUAUCAGGAUGAGGUGGGCCGUCAUGAAUGUGAGAAAGCCUAUUUCACCGAACAAGUUAUUCAUCCCCUGUUUUUACUAUUAUUUGAGCCCAUGUGAAAUUCCAUUUCUUUUAACCUUUCGGGACUCGAUUUGUGCAGUUUGAGAAGGACAAUGCCCUACUAAAAAGGGAGCUUCGGGACAGAGAUGCUGAAGUCUCCGAGCUUAGUCGGCAUGUGAGUGAGGUGGUUUCCGAGAGGGACAGCCUUAGAGGGAGAGUAAUCUUGAUCGAGCAUCAGCUAUAGGACGCGAAGAAGGAUAGUGGAAAGUAUAAGGGCCUCCAUUCCGAGCUGGUGGCUGCAUUGUUUCGGAUCAAACCCGAGGCCGAGACGCUUUUAUCUUUGCAUGGGGGAGGAGCGGUCGUCACAGAUUCCUGUGUUGAGAGAAUGUUCGAGGGGGCUGGCCCAACUUUACCUCGAGCCGCGGAUUGUACUUGGCCGGGCUCCCAAAGGCUGACCAUCGAGGGCGCAUUGGGAGGCAGCUCGAACGGUGUUAAAAAUGGGGGUGGAUCCCUAGAGAGAGGAGACGUCGUCAAGAAGGGGCCGUUAGGGGACUCGUAAUCGCCUGGAUGCAACCUUUGAGGCUGUCGGUUUGGCAAUAGAUUAGGACUUGUUAUUUUUUCCUGUUGAUCUCCCGGUUUGUAUAUAGUACUUUUAUUUUGGCAUAUGUAUGAAGAGAAUCAUGUGGCUUCGUUUCCCUUAUUCUCCUUUCUGCUCUAAAUCCAGCAAGGAUUGGCAAAAGAACCUUAGACCUGUAAUAUAGCUCUGUGGCCCGUUUAGGCUAGUUUGGGAGGCGUCAUGCAGCUGGUCGAUGUGGCCUCUAGUGUGAACUGCCAUGAGGGGCCUUGCACUUUCGCCCAUCCAUUUUGUGUUAAGUUUCCGGGCCAAGUUUGUCUCGAACCUUAUUGAUUUCUGCUCUCCUCUAUGCUUGGGUGAUGAUGGUUAUUAUCCUUUGCCCUUGGGCAUUUGUAUUUGGCUUGUUUUUGGGUUCAGUCUCCGAGUCGUGUUGCAACUCGAGCUUUAAUUGACCCUCAAGCUUUUUUGCCUGCAUGGGCGGAUGACGAUGGCUCUUGCGCCUUGGGUCGAAACGACAUUUUGAGUGUGUGGCCCCGAGGCUCGUUUGGGCUGGCAGCAAUGGCACUUACGCUGCCCUUAGUCAUGUUGUAGUUUAACUAUUUUGGAUCCGGUCUCCAAAUCGGAUUAUGACUCGAGCUCAUUUUAAUCCUCAGGUUUUCAAUUUCUACGCUGGCGACAGUGGCUCUUACGUGAUUUUGGUCGUUGAGACGUUUUAGUGUGCGACCCGGAGACUUAUUUGGCUGGCGACAAUAGUUUUUACGCUUUUGCCCGUAGGCAUUUUGUAGGCUUUGUAUUCCUCUUAUUAAGGUCUUUUUUGAAAUAAUUUUGCCUGACCCCUCGUCGGUUCGGGAAGAACCUCGAUUUCAAGUCGUUAGCGGUGAUGUUUGAGCACCUCAGAAGGUAUUUAGCUCAUAGGCCGAGUAGAUCGAAGCCUUGUGAUUUGGAGCUGACAUGGCCGAAGCUCGUUUGCUUGUUGAGGGAAGCCUGUUUUAACCGUUUUUUUCCGAAGUAUAUUCGAAGUAAUGGCAUGCGAUUUUGUUUAGCGACGGUCAGGCAUCCCGGAGUCGCGUUAAUUUGGCUAGAUCAACCAUUUUGACCGUAGUCAUAUGUGUUUGGCCGGAGGUAUUAUGAUCCCUAGUGAUAGUUUAGGCGUCUACACCGAGGGUAUGCCCUUUCAGGAUUCUUACAAAUGUGACGUAUAGCCUAAACGUCGGGAUUUUGAGUUUUAUGCCUGUAGUAAGGUCUUACAAAAUUUUCAUGCCUGUUGAGGUCUUACAGUUUGUCAUACCUGUUGAGGUCUUACAGUUUUUGUUGCUAUGUAGAAUAGAUCUGGUUACGCCGAGUCUACCCACUCGGGGUCUUACAGUUUUGGGUUUUCCAGUGCAUGCGAUUGAUGAUAGUCUCCGAGUCAUUGAGUUUUCUUAGGCUCGAAGGCCGCUAUUCGUGAGCUCGGAGUUGCCUUGUUGUGGCCUUAUGAGCCCAAAGUUUCGACCCUGGGGUCAUGCGGGUGUCAAAUUAUUGACGCUAAGUCUCUGAGUAUUUCGGGACGUAUUUGAUGAAGGGAUCCCUGUCGAGAGUAUACUGAGAUUUCUUUUGUUGGAGUUUGAGAUGCUAAAAGAUUGUCUUUUAUUGCUUGGCAUAAAUACAUGCUGCUUCGUUGUUGUGAUCCCGGCUCACGCGGGCGCGGCUCCUUGGACCGUUUGAUCCGGUACAUUGUUUUCUAUUGGAGCCUCGUUCGUCAUUUUCCUGGGGAAGGGCUGAUUGCAAAGGAAGUCUUGUAGGCUCUUUGAAUAUUUCUUGGGAAGUGCGUGGACAUUGCCUUAUUAAAAACCUUGCCGACAAAAACUCGUUUCGGGAUAAAAAAACCUGGUCGAAGUAAAAGAGUGCGACAUUUGCUCGAGGAUAUUUGUGGGGUUUUACAAACGGAUGCCCUAGCAGUAAUACCUCUUAAGCAUCGAUACAUUCCAGUUACUCGGAAGCUGCUCGCCCUCCAUGGUGCCAAGCUUAUAGGAUCAUUUGCCAACUAUCCCAAGGAUACGGUACGGCCCCUUCCAAUUCUGGCCCAGCUUCCCUUCAUUAGGGUUUCGGGUGUUGAGAGUAAUCUUCCUUAGGACCAAGUCUCCGAUCCCGAAGUAUUGGAGAUUUGUUCUUUUGUUGUAGUAUCUUUCGAUUUUCUACUUUUGGGCAGCCAUCCGAACCAGCGAGGCUUCCCGUCUUUUGUCGAGCAGCUCGAGGGCCGUUGUCAUGGCUUCGUUGUUCGAUCCCUCAUUGGUGUGUCGGAAUCUGACGUUUGGUUCCCCGACCUCCACUGGUAUCAGUGCUUCGGUGCCACAUACUAAAGAUAAGGGUGUCUCCCUAGUGCUUGAUUUUGGAGUUGUCCGAUAUGCCCACAGCACCUCGGGCAGCGUUUCUCUCCAUUUUCCCUUGGCGCUCUCCAAUUUCGUUUUCAAGUUUUGAAUGAUGGUUUUAUUUGUAGAUUCGUCCUGGGCGUUCACACACGGGUGGUAUGGCGUCGACAGGAUUCUUUUGAUUUUGUUGUCUUCAAGGAACUGGGUUACCUUACUCCCGAUGAAUUGCCUCCCGUUGUCGUAUGUUAUUUCGGACUGGAUCCCGAACCGGUAUAUGAUGUGUUCCCAUAUAAAGUUGAUGACUUCCUUAUCUCUUAUUUUCUCAAAGGCCUGCGCUUCCACCCAUUUUGAGAAGUGAUCAGUCAUAAACAGAAUGAAUCUAGCCUUACCUGGUGCCGUCGGCAAAGGGCCGACGAUGUCCAUUCCCCAUUUCAUGAAUAGCCAUGGUGAUAAAACGGAAUGCAGUUGUUCGCCGGGCUGGUGGAUCAUGGGGGCAAAUCUCUGACACUUGUCGCAUUUUCGGACGAAUUCCCUGGCAUCCUUUUCCAUGUUGUCCCAAUAGUAGCCCGCUUUGAUCACCUUUUGGACUAAGGAGUCGACCCAGAGUGAUUUCUGCAGGUGCCCUCAUGGAUCUCUCAGAGCACAUAAUCAUUGUUGCCCGGUCCCAAGCAUAUCGCUAGGGGGCCAUCAAAAGUUCUCCUGUAUAGAACCCCAUUUUUGUCGAGCGAGAACCGGGCCGCCUUGGUUCGCAUGGCCCUCAAUUCUUUUGGAUCUGCAAGUAGCUUCCCGUCCUUCAGAUAAAUGAUGUAUUUGUUUCUCCAAUCCCAUGUCAGGCUGGUGGAGUUAAUUUCUGCGUGACCUUCCUCGACCAUAUAUUUGAAUAGUUGGACGACAGCUCCAAGGAGCAAGUCUUCUUCUUAUUCAGCGGAGGAUCCCAGGGUUGUGAGGGCAUCGGCCUCGCUGUUCUGCUCUCGGGGUACAUAGACUAAGGUCCAUUCUUUGAAGCGAUAUAAUGUGAUUUGAAUUUUGUCCAAGUACCUUUGCAUCAUGUCCUCUCAGGCUUCGUAGCUUCCGUUCACUUGGCUAACUACGAGGAGCGAAUCGCAUUUUGCCUCGAUAGUCUCGGCUCCCAAACUUUUAGCCAACUCUAAACCUGCAAUCAUAGCCUCAUACUCGGCUUCAUUAUUAGUUAGCUUUGUGGUUUUUAUGGAUUGCCUGAUUAUGCCGCCGACGAGCGGCUUUAGGACUAUAUCGAGUCCGGAUCCUCUUAUGUUUGUGGCACCAUCUGUGAACAGGGUCCAUACCCCGGAGGACGUGCUUGAUUUUAAUAAAAGUUCCUUCUCUACCUCGGGCACGAGGGAUGGCGAGAAAUCAGCUACGAAAUCUGCCAGUAUUUGGGACUUGAUGGCCGUUCGAGGUUGAUAAUCGAUAUCAUACACCCCGAGUUCAAUGGCCCAUUUGGCCAGUCGACCCGAUAACUCAGGUUUAUGCAGUACACUCCGGAGGGGAUAAAUCGACAGGACACAGAUACGGUGGCACUAAAAGUAAGGCUUCAGCUUGCGCGAAACGCUUGUCAGUGCGAGAGCCAAUUUUUCUAGAUGAAGGUAUCGAGUUUCAGCGUCCCCCAAGGUUCGUCUUACAUAAUAAAUAGGAAAUUGCGUACCUUGCUCUUCUCGAACCAGUAUGCCGCUUACCGCUAUUUCAGACAUGGACAGGUACAGGUAUAACAUUUCAUCCUUCUUGGGUGUGUGCAACAAAGACGGGCUAGACAAGUACCGUUUCAGUUCUUCUAGGGCGUGUUGGCAUUCUGGAGUCCAUUCGAAGUUGUUCUUUCUUUUGAUUAGGGCAAAUAAAUGGUGGCUUUUGUCUGAUGAUCUUGAUAUGAAUCUGCCCAGGACCACGAUCUGCCCUGUCAGCCAUUGGACGGCUUUUACGUUGUUCACCACUGUGAUCUCUUCGAUGGCCUUUAUUUUGUCGGGGUUGAUCUCAAUCCCCCUGUUUGAAAUCAUGAAGCCCAGGAAUUUGCCCGACCCUACUCCGAAGGCACACUUCUUAAGAUUGAACUUCAUGUUGUAACUUCUGAGGAUGUUGAAAGUUUCCUGCAAAUGGGUCAGAUGGUCCUCUGCACGCAUGGAUUUGUCUAGCAUAUCAUCAAUAUAUACCUCCAUUAAUUUACCUACUUGAUGCUCGAACAUUUUAUUAAGUAGGCGCUAAUAUGUUGCUCCAGCAUUUUUUAGCCUGAAUGGCAUUAUGUUAUAGCAAUAUAUACCAUAUUUUGUGAUGAAUGAGGUCUUUUCCCUGUCCUCGGGGUCCAUUUGGAUUAGAUUGUACCCUGAGUAGGCAUCGAGGAAAGUGAGAGUCUCAUGGUCGGCCGUAGCAUCGAUCAGACGGUAUUAGGCAACGGGAAGGAAUCUUUGGGGCAUGAUUUAUUCAAAUCUUUGUAAUAUACGCACAUUCUUAGGUUGUUCCCUUUUUUUGGCACUACCACUAUGUUAGCUAGCCAUUCAGGAUACUUUACCUCCCUAAUGGAUCCGAUUUUAAGGAGUUUCGCUAGCUCCUCUUUGAUGAAGGCAUGUUUUACCUCGGACUGUGGUUUUCUCUUUUGCUUCACGGGUUUGAAUUUGGGAUCAACGCUUAGCUUGUGGGAGGUUAUUUUCGGUGGGAUACCUGUCAUAUCUAGGUGGGACCAGGCGAAACAGUCGAUAUUGUUACUAAGAAAUUGAAUAAGCCAUGUCCUGAGUUCAGGGGUCAGCCCCGUUCCUAGGUAUGCCUUGUGAUCCGGGAGGUGCUCGAUCAAAACGGUUUGCUCCAGCUCUUCGACUAUUGACUUGGUCGCAUCCGAUUCCUCGGGGGCAACGAAGGUUCGGGGGGCGAAGAAGUCUUCCUCGUCGUCUUCAAGGGUCUGCACGCUUCCCUCCUCGUCUGAGACCGGGCAUGUGGGGGUUGGCAUCUCGUGGUGGACCGCGAACAUUUCCCUCGCUACCUGUUGCUCUCCACAUAUAGUCGUGAUGCCAUCCCUCGUGGGAAACCUUAUCACCUGGUGCAAGGUCGAGCGCACUGCCCUUAUGUUGUGUAUCCAAGGCCUGCCAAGUAAGGCGUUGUAUCUCAUGUCGCCGUCGAUGAUCUGAAACUCGGUGUUUUGGAUUGUGCUAGACGUGUCGAUCAGGAGGGUGAUCUCUCCUUUCGUUUCUUCUCCGAUCAUGUUGAAGCCGUGGAGGAUUCGAGGGGUGGGAACAACUUGAUUGAGCAGCCCUAGCUAUUAUACUACUUCUGACCUGAUUAUGUUGGCCGAGCUACCUGGAUCCACGAGCACGCGCUUGAUCCUGGUGUUGCUUAAGAGAAACGAAAUUAUUAGUGUGUCAUUGCGCGGUUGCAUCAUAGCCUCGAGAUCCUCUUCGCUGAAUAUGAGGGUUUCUUCGGGUAAGUAUUUUCAGGUCGGUCCCUCUUUCGUAGCGGACAUUCUCGUUCGUUUUGACAUGGGCCCUCGGGGAACGUUGGUUCCCCCAAUAAUCAUGUGGACAUUAUGUUGGAGAACCUUCCCUUCCGUCCGGGUUGAACCUUCCCUAGGGCAGUCGUGCCCUUUUUUAUGUCGCUUUUGAGGUUCUGGUUUCCCAUUUAACUAGCCGAGCCAGGCGCUCUGUCUUGAAAGCGAAGAUCUUGGGCAAGAAAAAGUGUGAAAGAUAACUUGCGUUUUUGCAAUGAAACUAGCAAGAAAAUAAUCACUAUUAUUUUUAGCCCCACGGUGGGCGCCAAACUGUUUACUGUGAAAGUGGUAACAACAAUUAAAUUUGUAAAUAGGAUUCUAACAAUAUGUGAUCUUUUUUUAUGCUAGUUGUUAGAGCAGAUGAUGCUAGGAAUAUGAAGUUUAAUGAUGAAAUGCAAGCUAAAACGAGGCAGUAAUCAAACCGAGAGGCCUGCUGCCCGGGUAUAGGACUGGUCGCUGGGGGACUUCGGGGUCGAUAUCCGGGUCGAGCUCGAGCUAUCGGGGAUAGUCGGGAAUGCGAUAACAGUUAGGUUAUGAUCAAACAAAGCUCUAUAUGGCCAAGGCUAAGCGAUAAAUAAAGAACAAGUAAGAAAGGGAUAAAUGCUAAAGUGGCAUCGAGCCAGUGAGAGCAAGCGAGUUAGAGAGAAGAGAGAGAGAUAUUAUUGAUCUUGUGGAGAAAUAGUUGGAGCAACAUCAGCCGGGGGGUUACAAAGUGAUGGGGACCCCCUUUAUAUAGGAGGGGAAUCCGUUAUAAUACAAAACGUGUUAACCGUGAAGGUACAGAGAUGGGAUGGCUAGACGUGAUAUCUUGAAAAUAGGCCCCGAAUAGGCCAGCCUUAUCAGGUCAAGCCGCGUGCCUUGCCCCCCUCGCCUGCUGUAGCCCGCUGUAUUUGUCAGAAUGCGAUGCUCUUUGGACCAAUAUCUGUCGAACCCCGAGGAUGAGUCUCGACUUUGGCUUCGAUCUUUGAGGAGCAUGACCGCGAGAUGGCCUUAUGAUGGAGAAAUCGGGCCCCCGGAUUUGCCAUAUACAGUAACAUACCCCGAUUUCCCGGUGGGUCAAAUAGAGCCAGGACGUGACCGCAUGGGAUUGGAUUCGGAGCUGGAGACCUCUCGUACUGAUGCCCAAACGGAGUGCCCGAUAAGACAACACUUCCUCGAACCCGGAAUGAGUUCCGAGACCUUAGAAAACACGACAACGGUAGCACACGACUAACAGAGGGAUGCGGUAUCCGCACCCCACUAGAUAUCACAACACAGAUCUUGGCCUAUAUCGGCAGCAGAUCAUUGAUUAACGAAAAAGAAGAUAUUUACCUUUCUUAGAAUUGUACUAGGAGUGAAACUCUCCUACUAUAUAAAGGGGGUAGUUUUUAUUCAAUUGGGAGACACUGUAACCUGCAUAUCAAGACAAUACAAACUUGUUUAUCUGCUUUCUAGUUAUUGAAAGGUUCUUAUUUUAGUCAUAGCUCUUCAUGCACGUUUGGCUCCGAAUCGAUGGCAAAGCAAUUGAUAUGCUUAGAUCCGAGCCUGGACUCAACGUCACAAUUGGUUUGGUUAUUCAUUUUUAUCUUUAAUUCAUUUAUCUAACAUUCUUAAUUAUUUGUGUUGAAUCAAUCAACAUAUCUUUACAAUCGCGUAUAAAUUUAUUUGUUAUUCAUUUUAAGAGUAAACACAUGUAAUGCUCCAUACAUAAAAAUUAGAGUAGAAUAUAAUUAUUGCGGAAGAAUUAGAAUAAGAUACAAGUAGGGGAAUUAUCGAAGUGAAAAACGCAGGCCUAGAAGUGAAGGAGUUUCGUUUGACCGCAUCUUAGAAGACCGCGAAGGCAAUGCCUGUUCUUGAGGGUUGGCCGCGUGCCACACGCUUGUCCUUCCAAUUUCCCAAAUAUUAUUCUCUUCUCCCAAUUCCUCUUUCUUUAACCCUUUUUUUUAUUUAAUUUAUUACAUCUGCUUUAAAUUUUGAACUGUCAGUAGUAAUACUUGUUAAAUGUGAUACAAUUAGUAUUUAGAAAUUUUCAGAUUUGUUCUUUCAAUGGCAAUUGUGUUUACGUAGAUGUUGUCUUUCCUUUUCUCGAAGUUGUCUUAUUCACAAUAUUUUAGUCCGUCAUUUGAGUAGAACUUUUACAUGCAUUCUGCCAUUAUUUUAAAACAAGAGGAACAAAAGCUUAGUAAUAUGUUUUUUUUCAAUGUUUAGUUAUUUAUGUUUUAAUUUUAAAACAGUCAUUCUCAGAAAAUGAAAGUAGUAGAAAUGAGAAUGCUGAAAAGGAUGUGUGGGCAUACAAGAUUAGAUAAGAUAAGGAAUGCUGAUAUUCAGAAAAAUAUGGUAAUGGCACCCGUAAAGGACAAAAUGAGGGAAGCUAUAUUGAAAUGGUACGAGCAUGUGAAGAAGAGGUGCAUAGAUGCCCCAGUGAGGAGAUGUGAGAUGUUGGCAACGGGAGGCUGAGGAGAGGUAGAGAGCGGCAUAAGAAGUAUUGGGGAGAGGUGAUUCGGCAUGACAUUGUGCUUUUUCCGUUUACUAAGGAUAUGACACUUAAUAAGAAGGUAUAGAGGUUGAGAAUAUGUGAAGAAGGGUAGUGGUUAAGCGGACAUGUCUUAUUUUCAUGUCGGUAUCAUUAGUGUUAGUCUCGUAUUUUUAUUUUUUCGUAUUUGUAUAUUUCUAUUACUAUAUAUCGUUUCUUUCGUUUCAGUUAUUAUAUCAGCUUCGCUUACUGUGGUUACUAUUUGUUGUUUCUGCUGCUUUUUAGUUUUUUUCUCAUUAGCCGGGGGUUUAUGGGGAACAGCCUCUCUACCUUCGUAAGGUAGGGGUACGGGUCUGCGUCUACUCUAGACUCCCCAGACCUCACUUUGUAGGAUUUUACUGGGUUUGUUGUUAUUGUUGUUGUUUUAUUUUUAACGAUCAUCUGUCACUACUAUAAAUUUGGCAAAAACCGACCAACUUUGGUCGCUUUUUCAAAAUAUUUUUAUUUUUUAUUUUUUUACGGAACCGACCAACUUUGAUCGGUUUUCUUUGGCGCAAAAAUGCGAAAAAUUAUUUUUGAGUCCCGCAAAAUUUAUUUUUCAAGAAACCGACCAAAUUUGAUCGAUUUUUACAAUUAAAAUAAAUAAAAAUUAAUAUUAAAAAAAACAACCAAAUUUGAUCGGUAAAUUCGGCCGGUCAUUUUAAAAAACCGACCAACUUUGGUCGGUAAUUUUAUCUUUUAAUAAAAUCGACCAACUUUGGUCGGAUAUUUUUGUGCGAAAAUACAAUUAAAGAGUAUAAAUAAAAAAAUAAGACAAUCUUAAAACAAAAUGCACCAAUAGUCUAGUGCUAGAAUAGUAUCCUGCCACAGUACACACCCAGAUUCGAUUCCCAGAUGGUGAAUCUUUUGAUUACAUAAUUAAAAUACCGACCAACUUUGGCCGGUUUUUUUUUGCAAUAAUAUUUUUUUGAAUUUAAUUGACCGACCAACGUUGGUCUGUAAUUUCUGACUAACUUUGGUCGGAAUAUUAAAAUGACCAUCAAAAUACCGUCCAAGUGUAUUUGGUCGCAUUUUGGUCGGUAAUUGGCCAUAAUCGACCAAAGUUAGUCGGGUUUUUUAGUCGGUAUUUACCGAAUUUCUAGUAGUGUAUAUAUAAAUAUAAAGCUGAGAAUGGAAAAAAUAAUGUGACAUACUUCUCUCACCAGUAUUGUAUAGGGUAAAAUAUGUUCGUAAUAAAUGUUCGUAUGAGAAAAUGACACGUGGAGCCGAACACAGAAGACAUUCAGAUCUGAAGGCAACGAUUUCAAAAAGAAUGAUAUUCAUAAAGGCGACUAAAUAUCGGCCACUCGGUAGCAUUUAAUGAAGAAUAUGAAAAACUUUGAAAAAUAAUUUAGAUAAUAAAUUAAUAUAUUAGAUAUAUAUUUUACAGAUACGUUAUUAUUUUCAAAAAAUAAUAAAUUCUCCGAAAAUUUAUUUUCAUUUCUAAGAAAUGAACAACCUACAAUUAAUUAAGGAAUACUUAUCAACAAGAUUUGCUCAUUUAUAGGACUUGUAACAUGUAUGGUGCUUGAAGUAUUGAAAUUACACCCAUGGAUAUUAUCAAAANNNNNNNNNNNNNNNNNNNNNNNNNNNNNNNNNNNNNNNNNNNNNNNNNNNNNNNNNNNNNNNNNNNNNNNNNNNNNNNNNNNNNNNNNNNNNNNNNNNNNNNNNNNNNNNNNNNNNNNNNNNNNNNNNNNNNNNNNNNNNNNNNNNNNNNNNNNNNNNNNNNNNNNNNNNNNNNNNNNNNNNNNNNNNNNNNNNNNNNNNNNNNNNNNNNNNNNNNNNNNNNNNNNNNNNNNNNNNNNNNNNNNNNNNNNNNNNNNNNNNNNNNNNNNNNNNNNNNNNNNNNNNNNNNNNNNNNNNNNNNNNNNNNNNNNNNNNNNNNNNNNNNNNNNNNNNNNNNNNNNNNNNNNNNNNNNNNNNNNNNNNNNNNNNNNNNNNNNNNNNNNNNNNNNNNNNNNNNNNNNNNNNNNNNNNNNNNNNNNNNNNNNNNNNNNNNNNNNNNNNNNNNNNNNNNNNNNNNNNNNNNNNNNNNNNNNNNNNNNNNNNNNNNNNNNNNNNNNNNNNNNNNNNNNNNNNNNNNNNNNNNNNNNNNNNNNNNNNNNNNNNNNNNNNNNNNNNNNNNNNNNNNNNNNNNNNNNNNNNNNNNNNNNNNNNNNNNNNNNNNNNNNNNNNNNNNNNNNNNNNNNNNNNNNNNNNNNNNNNNNNNNNNNNNNNNNNAGAGGUUAUCUUUGGUUGAAAAAAAGCAAUUGAAUCAAAAUAUAUUACGGAAAAAAAUCAGAUAUAGCCAGAUUUAUAACUGAUAAUUGAAAAAUUGUCACAGUUUCAAAAGUAAUUGAAAUUUAGCUAUUUUUUCAUGUAAAGAUAAAAUCUGAACAAAAAUACUCUAAAAAUCCAGUGUAAUAUGGUGGGGUUUGAAUUUUUACAUAUGGAAUUCCAACAUAAUAUGUUGGAAUUUCAUCAUAUGUUAGAGUUCUAACAUAAUAUGCUGGAAGUUUAUCCGUGAGAGCUCCAUAAUCCAGUAUAUUAUGCAAGAAUUUUUCGUAUUUCAAUAAAAUAGUGACUAUUUUUCAAUGACCUUAUAAAUGAUGGUUAUUUUUCAAUUAUCAGUGAAAAAACGGGCUAGUCCAUUGCUAUUUUCAAAAAUAUAUUGGUGAGGAAGCUAAUAACACUGUCUUUAGGCUAAGAUAAAAUUUUGUCACUGUCAGGUCCAUCCAGCCCACUGGCUGCCCUCAAAAUCCCACCUCCUUAUAAGCCCAUUCUAUGCCUUCCCUUCUUCAUUCCCCUCUUUCCUUCUAUUCUCUCUUUCUCUCUCUCUAGUUUGUGGCACUUUUUAUGGGGUUGAGAGAAAAUAUUGCAGUGCAGAAAGCAACACUGAAAUCUCCACAAGGUUCCCAACUUAUCUUUUCACUUAUUCUGCCAUUCACUUCGACCUAUCUUUCCUUAAUUUUACUCCAAUUCCCAACCUUAAUUUUCCUUUUCUCAACCAAAAACACACCGCUUUCUUUUUCUUCUUGUAUAAAUUUAACAUUAUUUUCUAGUUAUUCAUCAUUAUCACUUAUUUAUUUUUCGAAUAGUAUUAAAAUUUAAAAGGUAAUGACUUUUUCUUUUUCGGAUGCAGGUUUCUUUAGAGCUUUUGGCGCGUAUGAGUGGAGUAAAUCCAGCAGCUUCAAGCCAAAGGCUGCAAAAACUGGAAACUGUAAGCCUAAUGGCAUCUUUAGCUGAUGGAAAGGUUAAGGGCCACCUUAGCCAGGUCUUUGUUUUAGUCAUCUGCACCUGCAACUUCUUCAUUCUCAUUCUCAUGAUGGGAGUUGCUUCUUCGUCUUAAUUUCGGUGCUAUCUUAUCUGAGCUUUCUCAUCACCUCUUCUCGUUUUUUAUUUUUCUUUUCUCCUUUUUCAAUUUUUUGACUUGUUGUUUUUUAUUCCUUUACCUAGCCGAGUCUUCUUGACCUUGUAAGACCUUUUCUUGACCUUGUAAGACCCCGUGUUUUGUGUUAUAUUUUUGUGUUUUGUAUUCUCACAAAUCUUAUGUCAUGACUUCUCGAUGUAGGAUUUGUUUACUGUCCGUCUUAGUUACCGCCCAACUCACGUUCUCCUUCCUUGUCUAUCCCUCCUGAGCUAUUCACACAUAUUCCUAAAGAUCUGAAUUCAAGAAGCAUGAUCCGAAGAAAGAGUACUACUAUUUGCCAUCAAGAGUGGUACUAAUGCAAAUUCAUGUGAUUAUUUAUAUACCCUUUUGUUCCUAUUUAUGGGGGGUUAUGAAUGUGAAUUUUGAAUAAACAUUGUACUAAAUCCUAUGUAUGGAUUGAAAUCAUUUAUGGCCGGGAAAUUACAUAUUCUAAUGGUACGGCCAUUUUUUUUUCUCUAUUCUUUUCAAGUUUUCUAGUUGCUUGGUAGUAGCUUUUUUAUUUUUGAUCUUAUUCUUUUCAUGACUGGUCACUUUACACACUUCCAUCAUCUCACCUUGUAUUUUUUUCCGAACUUCUAAAAUGAAAGUCGGAUUUUGGAUCUUUCUUUUUGAAUUUAAAGAAAAUAUACCAGGCGAAAAAUGUGCAGUGACGUUAGCCCAUUUAAUUUUGAAGAUUGUUAUAUAUUGAGGAUAGAGUUACAGCCUCGUAGUUGCAACUUAUCCUGUCAAAAAUUUUCUCAAAGUUCAAACUUAAAAUAAGUAAAAAAAUAAUCUCACAAAAGCUGUGCAAUACAUGUUAUGUAUCUCUAACAUAUAAUAUUUUACUUAUAUAAAUAGUGUAUUUUUUCGACAAAAGGGGUCAGUUGACCACCCUAACCCAAGUGUGUCUUCGCCCUUGCCUACAUGGAUCACUUUAAUACAAUGUUUUAGUUUUACCACAACCUUCUCUCUUUUACCUUUGCUUCCCUUAUUCAGAGUACAUUCCACCCACCAAAAAAAUUAAUAAUAAUAAUAAAAUAAAAAUUGAGGAACAAAGUUAUUGUGUAUCCUUUCUGAAUCUGUUACAAAUUUAUAUUUGGUGUGGAAAAAAUAUUGGGAGGUUGUAUUUGAGUAUUGCCCACAAGGCCCACGCCCUUCUCUUUUUCCUUAGUUUAUGGAAAGGGCUUCCUUUUAAGCAAGAAUGAGCUCAUGUCAUUUAUGAAGGGGGGGGGGGGGGAAUAAUUGUAACCAUUUGGGGAAAAAAUAUCAGCUUUUUAUACGAACAACUUUUUUAGAGUACUGGAAAAAGAAAUCAUUCACUCAGAUAGACAAAACCCUCUCUUGUCUGCUAGCCUGUUUUUAUAUGAUUUAUGAUUUACAAUAUAAAGACUCGUGGGUUGGACCAAUGCAAGUUAAAAAGAAAAAAAAAAUUCACUUUUACUUGCAACCAUUUUUAGUUGAUUUAUAUGUAUCCUGAUUGAUGAUCUAACACCUAAACCCUCAAAUUUAUCAUUUCGGCUUUCUCUCAACCUAAAAUUAAACAACAAAUUAAGAAAUGCUUAAUAUUGUUGACAUACGAUAGGUCCAUCUUGUUCACAUAAAGCGUCACAAACAUUUAAUCAUGUUCUCUAGCAUGAGUAAGAAUACUAUGUAGCCAUACAAAAUAAGUAAGGCAUGUUGUAAGAAGAACAUGAAUCAAAACAGACCUAAAAAGACCUAAAUUCAAGCAUGGUAAUCGUUGUAAUAUAUACUAUAUAUAUACUAUAAAAAGACCUAAAAUAUUAUAUACGCUCGUCACCUCGCAUAUACGUCACCCCAAAUACGCAGCAUGUAAUAUAGAAGUCCAUUUUAGGAGACUUUCCCUGAAGUCUAGGCUAAUCAGGACACUUACCAUAUUCGAAGUAGGCUUCAACCUUUAAAAUUGCUUUUUCUUUAAUCUCGGCCUGCAAAUGCCCAAAAUCUAGCUAAAGAAUAAUCAACAAGGUUAAAUAAUGCUAUAGGAAUUAAUCCUACGUGAAAAAGAUUCCAUCUUUAUUAAAAUCUCAAAAGUCAUAAAAUGUUAACCCGAGCCCAUAUGGUUAAAACACGAUAUCAAGACCAAAUCUCGGUGACACAUAACCUAUCAAGUCCAAAUGUGUAAUUAGAUUUCAAAUCUGAGUCCAUCGGUGUUCAAAUUAGUCAUCUGUUAUAAAGCUAACUGUGUAAUUAGUUUUCUACUUUUAGAUUAAUUUCUUGACUCUAAAAGCAAAGUUUAGUCAUCUGUUAUAAAGCCUAUGACUAAACAUAUGUGAUUCGUAGAGAAUUGUGAAUAAAUUGUCCAAAAAGGCAGAAAAAGUCAAGUCGGUAAUAACGAAAUUCAAGCACAAAAUGAUGAUGUUCCACAAGUUGGUACUUUUUCCAUAUAGCUUGAUAGUUUUCUAUAGUCUUAUACAUAAAUAUAUUCAAAGUUAGUGAUGACUGAAGGAAAACACAAAAUCUUGACUUUGAGUAAGUCUCAUGAUUUAGCUCAUAACUUAAAAUCAGCAAUGUAGUUUAUUCUGCCGGCAAUGCGGGUCACUCUUUCCCCACUUAUUUUUUACCUUUGGUAACAUCUAACAUGCCUUCCGUGUCUCUUUUCAUUAUUUAACCUUUCUUUCUUUUUCUCUCUCUUUUUAGGCAAAAUACAUAAUUUACCUUAUCCGCAAAUCUCUCUUACACACUUCUUAAAUACGGAAAUAAUAUUACACAACAAAACUUUUAAAGGUGUAUCAAUUACACACCACUUCGGUGUUUGACCACAUCUGAUCAAAGAUUGCUCUUACACGCGCCAAUCAGCAUCUGACACAUAUCAAAUCGAGGAAAAAAAAAACUGAAAAAAAAACUGCAACCCCUCCCCCUUCCCCCCAAACCCCCUCUUCUCAUCUCCUCAAAGAAAAAAAAAAUACAGAAAAGAAACCCUUCCCCUCCCCCCCCCCUCCCCUCCCCUCUUCAUCUUCCUAAACCCAUCAUCUUCUCCAUCACCACCAUACUACCACCAACCCUUCCACCACAAGAAUCUUCUUCCAUAACUAUAGAUUCAAUUCUUUGCCGAUUUUUAACAACAUCCAUCAUAAAAUCCUUAUACAAAUUUCAAAUUCAAGCUCAAACCCAAAGCUUUUCAAAAAGUCAAUAAUGGUGAUUUUUACAAUACCCAAUAGCUCCUAUGUUCUUUUUUUUUUCUUCUUAGUCAUGGGGUUGGAGAGACGAAAUAUGAGGUGGUAGAUAAAACUAGGAUGGGAAUUGGGGACGAAGACGAACCGGGGGGGGGGGGGGGUGGAGAAGACACUGGGUUUUGGGGUUGGAGAAGAAGACAUGAGUUAUAUUUUUUUUCUUUAAUUUAAAGGAAAUAGUUAAAAAAGGGAAAUUUAAAAAAAAAAAAUUAAUUUCAGGUGAAUUUUUUAGUUCACAUGCGCCUCUUUUAUGUGUAAUACACGCGUGUGACACAUGACAAAAAAGGUAUGUAAUUGACACAUUUUUAAAAGUUUUGAUGUAUAAUAUUAUUUCUGUAUUUAACAAGUGUGCAAGAGGGAUUUGAGUACAAGGUCGAUGGGUAAAACAUGUAUUUUGGCUUUUUUUAAAGGAAACUUUUAGUCAUAAUCAUUUCUUUUAAGACCUCUGCAUAAUAUUACUCGUACAAGAUUUGGCAUCUCAUUUCUCGGUCAAACUCAUCGUAAUGAGAAUGCGUUCCGGAAUAUAAUCCAUUCAUAUGUCGGCUCUAAUCGGCAACGUAACGCGUUUAUAAUUUAUAUUUAUAUAUUUUUUAUAUCUACUUGUCUACCUAUCUAUCUAUCUAUUUAUAAAAAUAUAAAUAUCAAAACAUUAAAUGUUUAUCAACAAAAAUAUUCUUUUAAUAUUAACUAACUUUUAAUCCCUUUAGAAGAUUAAUUAUUUUUACAAAAUAUAAUUUCACGUUGGAUGGAAUUGUAACUUAAGACUUGACCGAAUAUUAAUUGGCAUGGAGUUCUAACAAUCAAGUUCCAACUCUCGAUGUCCUACCUCGUAUUGACCCGGUCGGUCGUUUUGAAUAUUUUAGCCCCGUUUUCCCUAUUUGAUGUUGUUUACCUCAAAAAAUACGAGCAACAAUUAUAUAUGAUUUGUGGUUUUAAAGAUAUGUGAUUUAUUCUAAUACUAGUGACUAUACAAGUAAUAUUAGAUUUAAGAAAGAAGAAUUGAUGAACCAAACCAGUGUUGUUAGGGCAAUAAGGACCUCGAGCUCGACUAUCUCGGGGGCCUCGAGGUGAGUUAAGAGCAAUAAAGUAUGAACAAUAAAGUAAAAAUAAUAAAGCUGAAGAACAAUUGUGAAGCACAGUAAACAAGAAAAGCAUAGUAGAAUGUUCUAUUAUAGUGAAUGAGAUGAUCUUUACAAAUGAUUGGGGCCUCCUUUUAUAGAAGGGGAAAACCCUAAUAUGGUGCAUUUUCAAUUAUGGUAAAGAAUUCUAUUGAUACAACUAUAUAACAACCUAGUACGGACUCGUACUAUUUCGUACAAAUUUUAUCCCUUAAUUUAUGCUCUGAUCCACGUGUCCUUGAUAAAUUCUCGUUCUUUUUUUAGUGUCAUCAAAAUUAUAUUGUCCUCGAGACAGAUCAUGAUGGGUCUCGGAUUUGCUUCUCGAGGUGCGCACAUCCCGGCCGGGCUCGAUUUUUACUUUGAGCUUUCGAACUUGAGCUCGGGGUAUGAUCACGUCUUCGAAAUUGAGCUCUCCGAUUUAGACAGUACACAGAUAGUCCCUGCGUUUCUUAGAAUGAAAUGAUAUGAAACGAUUUGAAUUCGCAAAGUCCUUUAUUAUGGCAUCACUCUUUUGACGUAAGCAUUGAAAUGACCGAAGCGUCUCGUCGGUUCUCUUCCCCAAAAGCAUUAAAUGCACAUCAGAGCCGGUCGGUCAUCAAUAUUAAUGAACUGUCACUGCCUUCCUCUAUAUAUACUUGUUUUCUCUUCUCAUUAAGAACUUUUCCACCUUGCAACACCUAUUUUCCUCUAUACGUUUCCUUUUCACCACCUGUUCCUCCGUCAUAUUAGCUCAAAACCUCGCUGGUUUAUUCAUUUCUUCCUUCUUUUUCUAAAGAACCAAUGGCAAAAAAUUCCAAGUCUGUUCCUUAGAAAGAAGGAACCUCCACUUCUACUCCCCGUUCGGCCGGUGGUAAACCGACAACGCUUUAUGAGAUCGUACCGAGCAAUUUUUCCUUGAAAAAGGACUUUAUAGUCGAGACCUCUCCCGAUGUCCCCGGUCGUCGAGAGUAUGCAUCGAGAUACAUAAGGUCAAUUGAGAAAAAACACCUCGAUGCUAUGAGGAAAAUAGUGUAAAUGGGAAGAGAAGGUCGUUCUACAAAUGCCUUCUCUUGAGGAGGACAUCACAACUUACGUAGAGGGGUUCUUGAGUGUGUAUACAUACCCCUUUACGUUGGGUCCCCUCGACCCGCUCGUUCUUGAAUUCUGCCGAAGAUAUCAAGUCACCCUAGGCCAGAUUCAUCCGUCCUUUUGGCGGAUCGUAAUAAUGAUGAGGUUCUUCAUUUAAAAGGUCGGGCUCGAGUUCACCCUUAGCCACAUCAUCCGAUUAUAUCAACAACAACAUUUUCAAGGUUUAAUCAAACUCCAACGUCGAUCAACCAAGUCUAUCUUUGCCAGUAACGACGAAGAUAAGGAUCGAGGUUGGAAGAGCUGGUUCAUCAGGGUGAGGACCGUCGAUGUUAUUCCCAAGGAGUUCUUGCCGUUCCCCGAGAAAUGGAACUUCGAACGUGAGUGGAAUUCUUUGCUUUAGUUCUUUUUCAUAAAAUUUUGCUAAACUUUGCAUAAUUAUUCCUUUCCCUUUUUCGCAGCGGUCCUGUAGAUGCCUAAUACGGUGCUCGACCUUGAGGACUAGGUUCACAAACUAGUUGCUACUUCAUUAUAUAACAAACACAAGUGGCAGGACUUGUCGAAGGGCAAGUAGGAAGCGAAACACCAUGGUAUGCGUCAUAAUGUUUCUUUCCUUAUUAAGAAACUCUUUCUUCAUGUGGCAUGAUUCCUCUAUUGCAGUUAUUGGUGAGUUCUUCGAGAUGAGGCCGCCCCCCCCCCCCGAGGAGGAAGUAGGAUCUUUGGCUCCAAAGCCAAAGAAGGAUAACAAGAGGAAAAGGUCCUCGAAGGGCGAGGACACUCAAAGCCAAGCCGAGCCCGCUCGGAGGCGCAAGAAAAGCGUCGUCGUCAAUGUGGAUAUUGACUCGGUCCACCAGUUCAUGGAUGAUGAUGGUGACGAGAUGGAGGGUUCGAAGUUGGUGACUUGAACAAGGAAAUCUUCAGAGGCUAUCAAGCCUGAUGAGAUCGGGGCCACUAGCCUCGAGGAAGGAACUUUAAAAGAAAAAGAGGAUGAAGGCCCUGCAUCACCUGACGUGGUAAUUGCUUCUCAAACUUCUGGAAAUACUCCAAAGUGAGCGAGGUUCGAAGCUCCUUUCUUGAACAGAACUCCUCGGGUGAUCUCCCCGAGGCCAUGACAGCAGGUCAUUCCCAUCAUUUCCAGCCUUCUCCGAGAAUGCCAUUGGGGAUGCUCAGAACUUGAAGAUGUCCGAUUUAGGCGGAGUCCCGAGUGAAAAUGACCCCUUCUAGGGUUGCUUUUGCUGGGGUCAAUGAGGCCGACCCAGCGGAUGCGAGCUCAAUCUUUGAGGAGGCUCAACGUAUUUGCUCAAUUGUAAGUUUUUAGUGGCACUGCAAUUUCUCUAAUGCCAUACUUUUCUUCUUUUGUCUAAUCGAUCAUUCCUUUCCUUUUUGUAGGACUUUGACAAAUUGAAGACCGAAUUGCGUCAUUGUGAAGCCGAGUUGCGUAGAGCUUUGAAUGAGGAGAAAACCAUUAGGCUUCUCCUUGACAAAAAGGAGGAAGAACUGAAGCAUCUUCGAUCGGAGUUGACCAAAGCUCGUGAAUACGAGAGUGAGUUAGAAAAGUAGGUAACCUCUGUUCUGAAAAAAUACUGGCUACCUCUCUCGUCUUCGGAGGCUAAUACUUUAAUGUCUUAGCUACAGCAAAAGAUAGAGAUGCUAGGACGUCUUCGUGGUGAGGUCGACCAAAUCAACUCUGAGUGCAAUAAAUGGAAGGCGAAGAUGGACACCCUCGUUAUGGCUAAAAAUGAUGCACUAGCAAAGGUAUCGUCCCUCGAGGUUCAACUUCGGAAUGCUCUAGGGAGAAACUUGGUUCAGGCUAGCAGAAUAGUCGAGCUCAAGGUUAGUCUUGCGAAGGCCAAGGCCGAAGUUGUGGAAGUCUAGAUCGAAGCCAGAGAAAUACAAGCCAAGGCCGACAGGACGGUGGCCAUCUAUUUGAAGGAUGCUACUGAUGCUCAGAUGGAGUUGAGGGGGGCUUUCGAUCGAGAGAAAAGAAGCAAUAACUAUGCCCAACGUCGAUCCCGAAGGGAGACCCUCAAAGAGGUCCAUGCUAAGGGCUUCGAUCUUUCCGAAGAGAUAAAGAAAGCUAAGGCAGAUGAGGCUGAUGCCAAAUUUGUACUUUCCUCCGACGAUGAUGAUGACGUCGUAGAUGAUAAAGAGGAGGAUAUUGCUGAAGAAGCUACCCCCGGGGAAAAGGCUGGUCCCGAGGAAGUGCUAGGUCCGAGUGGGAAUGCCCCUCUGGUGUAGGUAGAUUUUUUUUUAUCUGUUUUUGUAAAUUUUUGCUUUGUAGGACUCCUAUAAUAUCUUUUUGUAUAUAUAAAAAGAAAAGGAGUUUCCUUGAUCGUUUGCUUGAUUUUUGAUGCUAUAAUCUCUGAGCGUUGAUUCAAAUUCGGGGUAGAGUAGACCCGCAAGUUUUGUGUUUUGAUCAAAGAUCGAUAAUAGGUUACCACUUAAGGUUCGAUUUUCGAGCUAAUUUUUAGCUCGGGACUUUUGAGUCCGAGCUGGGUAACGUCUCGAGCAUGGUGUGCUUCGGCCUUUAAGCUCUUUAAAUAUUGGCCCUUAUGCUUUUUAGGUAGGCUCUUUUAGGUUGGCCCUUAAGCUCUUUUGGGUUGGCCCUUAGCCUCUUCAGGUAGGGCCAAUUUGGCCUCUAAAAUGGCUAUAAAUGUUUCCCUUUUUCUAGCUAAAGACUUAGUGAAAAUUUGUUAUGCCUUAGCAUGUAUUUUUUGUAUUCAUAUUCGUUCGAUUUUUUCGAAGGUUCGAUUGAUUGGAAUCUCGUUUGUAAUUUGAUAUGCAACGUUAAUCGUAUACCUCUUGAGGUUUUUUCGAAGGCUGAUGUUAUCGAAGCCUUCACAUUAUUCGAGGGUUGGUUUUAUUGAAGCCCCUUAUAAUUUACUUUUGUCGAGGGUAGCCUGAUUUAACCGUCUUUUCAAUGUUUGAAGGCCUUUAAUUUAUGGCGGAAGUUAGAUGUCUUCGAGCCGCAUUAUUUUGGCCAUAGCCUUUAUAUGACCGUAGCCAUUAAUAUGGUCGUAGCCUUCGGGUAUGCCAGUUGGACUUGUUUCCUGAUAACUUUUCGAACUUGACCGAAGAGUUAGUCACUGAGUAUAUUGGCCUUGGCCUUUGUUUCGAGGGGGUGUUUCGAGGGGGUGCCUCUUUGAGGUCUUAUGAGUUCGAGUUUUUGAUGACUCGGAUGUAUUGGCUGUCGGUGACAGUCCCCGAGUAUUUCAGCGUGCUUUGUUCCUUGAGCGGUUUCCUGUAGGAUUGUAAGUGUAGAACUCGUAUGAUAGUAAACUUCUUUGAGAUACAAAGCAUUUUGAUAUAACCAGAAUGCUUCUUCAAAUAAUUGAUACAUACGUACAUGUUUUUCUGUCGGGGCUCGACUAUUCUAUAUGGACACGGUUCAUUUGACCGUUUGGCCUAUUACAAAGUUCUCCUAUUGAGGCCCUCUUAGGCGUGAAGUAUUUUUCUUAAAAAUAUAAUCUCCGAGAGUGAUGGCCCCUAUUAUUCGAGGUUGAUUGAAAAUAAGCCUUGGAUACUGUUGAGUUUUUCUUAGGUAGCACAUAAUUGUUGCCUCAUUAAAAACCUUUGCCGGUAAAAUCCAUUUGGGAAAAAAUCUGAUCUAAGGGAAAAAGAGUGCAACGCAUGCUUUAAAACCUAAGGUCUGCGUGUAGAAAAUGAUGCCUUCGAGAUCUUGUGCCUUUGAUUGCUUCGAUCAAAAAUCUAUAGUGAGUUAGUUUUAAAUUUAAAUGGACAAAAGGGAUAAAGUCGUGCCUCAGCAGUAGUAUCGUUUGAGCAAUGAUAUGUUCCAAUUGUUCGGUAGUUGUUGGCCUUCCAUUGUACUAAGUUUGUAAGAACCUUUACCGAUAACUCCGAGGACUCGGUACAGUCCUUCCCAGUUCGGGACCAAUUUCCCUUCAUUAAGGUCUCGAGUAUUGAGGGUGACUCUUCGUAGAACUAAGUCCCCAAUUCCAAAAUAUCGAAGGUUGGUUCUUCUAUUGUAGUACCUUUCGAUCCGUUGCUUUUGCGCGGUAAUCCGAACAAGCGUUGCUUCUCGCUUUUUGUCCAACAACUCGAGGCUAGUAUUCAUGGCACGUGGUUUGAUUCCUACGAUGCGUGUCGAAACCUGGAGCUGGGUUCCCCGACCUCGACGAGGAUGAGGUCCUCGGAGCCAUAUACUAGAGAAAACGAGGUGGCCCCCAUUCUAGACUUCGAUGUUGUCCGAUAUGCCCAAAGGACCUUGGGUAGGACUUCUCUCCAUUUUCCCUUCGCAUCAUCUAACCUUUUCUUCAAGUUUUGAACGCUGGUUUUGUUUGUUGACUCGGCCUAACCAUUUGCACUUGGGUGGUAAGGUGCUGAUAGAAUCCUUUGAUUUUAUGGUCCUCGAGGAAUUUUUCACUUUGCUACCAAUGAAUUAUUUCCCAUUGUCACAUACUAUUUCGGCAGGUAUCCUGAACCGACAUAUGAUGUGGUCCCAAAUGAAAACGAUGACUUCUUUUUCUUUUAUAUUCUCGAAGGCUUGCGCUUCUACCCAUUUUGAGAAGUAGUCAGUCAUAAACAAAAUAAAUUUAGCUUUACCUGGCGCCAUUGGCAGGGGGCCAACGAUGUCCAUCCCCCAUUUCAUGAAUGGCCACAGAGAUAUGACCGAAUGGAGUUGUUCACCGGGUUGAUGGAUCAUCAGUGCAAAUCUUUGGCAUUUAUCACACUUUCGAACGAACUCCUUAGUAUCCUUUUCCAUGUUAUCCCAGUAAUACCCCGCCCUGAUCACCUUGCGAACCAAAGAGUCGGCACCAGAAUGGUUCCCACAAGUGCCUUCGUGGAUUUCUCGUAAUACAUAAUCGGUGUCCCCAGGUCCCAAGCACACUGCCAGUUGUCCAUCGAAGGUUCUUCUAUAUAGCGUUCCAUUUUCAUUGAGUGAGAAUCGAGCUGCUUUGGCUCGAAAUGCUUUCGACUCUUUUGGGUCCGUGGGGAGCUUCCCAUGCUUCAAGUAGUCGAUGUACUUAUUCCUCCAAUCCCACGUUAAACUUGUUGAAUUAAUUUCUACAUGGCCUUCUUCGACCACCGACCUCGAUAGUUGGAUGACACUCCUCGAUAUGAUAUUAUUUUCUUCAACCGAUGACCCCAAGUUUGCAAGUGCAUCAUCCUUGCUAUUCUAUUCUCAAGGUACAUGGUCUAGUGUCCAUUCCUUGAAACGGUGCAAUGUCACUUGAUGUUUGUCUAAGUACCCCUACAUUCGAUCGUAUCGAACCUCAAAGCUCCCAUUUACUUGAUUUACUGCCAAAAGGGAGUCACACUUUGCCUCGAUGACCUCCUCUCUAAGGCCCUUGGCUAGUUCGAGACCUGAAAUCAUGGCCACAUACUCGACCUCAUUGUUAGUCAAUUUACAAGUUUUGAUAGAUUGCCUAAUGACAUUGCCCGUGUCACACCUCCUUUUUACUACACCCCGGAAGGGAGUAUAUAAGGGAGUUUUUUCUAACUUAAAGUGACAAUCGUAACGGGAUCAUUUUAUUAAAAAUUCAGAGUCGCCACUUGGGAUAAUUUAUGGUGUCCCAAGUCACCGGUUUAGAAUCCCGAAUCGAGGAAAAGAUUGACAUUGUUUUACAGUCCGCGAACACAGAAAUCUAGGUAAGGAAUUCUGUUAACCCGGGAGAAGGUGUUAGGCAUUCCCGAGUUCCGUGGUUCUAGCACGGUCGCUCAACUGUUAUUUUUGGCUCAAUAUUUGAUUUUAAAAACACUUUUAGACCUAUGUGCAUUUUAGCUUUAAACCGCUUUUAAUUAUUUUAAGGAAGAUUUCAAUGUCAUCUAAAAUACGUCCUUGGACCACGCCACAUGAAAUGAACCUGCAGUCCGAGACACAUUUUAUUUAACAUUGUUAAGAUUUGGAUUUGGGUCACAUGAAAUGCACACCCGAGUUUAGGAAAGUAAUUUUAAAUUACGCGCCUAAAGCAGCUACGCAUUUUCAACUUUGCGAGGGCCAUGGACUUAGGGGUUUUAUUUGGCAUGGUAUAACAUUUAUUUUACCCAACCAUUCAUUUAAUCAAAUUGGUCCAAACUAAAAUACAAUAAUACUUUUUAAGCUUAAUCUAAUCUUCUGGUUUUCUAAGACAACGAAUUGGGCCAAACUAGCUUAAAUACUAACUAAAUAACUCAUUAAUUAGUAAAAGUACCUCAAAUUUAAAAAUAAUCAUCACAACCAACUUGUCAAAUUCAUGCCAACUUUCCGACAACUUCACAUUCAAACAGAAUAACAAAACUAACAAAACACAAAAUAAUAGACGUUAAUAAAUGGCUAAACCAUACCUAGAACUAUUCAAAUGAACAAGAGCAAAAGAAUUGAAAUAGGGGUGGUUUUGGGACUGCUUUUCGGCAGUUUUGGACUGUUUCACAGGGAAAAGAGCUGGCUACGUUUUUGUGGUUGUUCUUUGUUUUUUUCAUUUUUUUUAUUUUUUCAUUUUUUUCUCAUCUUUCUUUUCAAUGGUUGAUCGAACCUGAUGUGAGUUGCCUACGUAUCAUGUGGGAACAUGAAUCAGAUCCUGCGUAGUUCGGGAAGAUCAUGAAUAAAGUAAAUAAACUAACUUUUUUUUUUGAUUUUGAAUUUUUCAUUUUAUUUUUUCAAAAGAAAGACUUAUAAAGAGAAUAUUUUUUGAAUUUUGAUUUUUCUUUAAAAUUUUGCAAAUAAAGACUUCUAAAGAAAAGAGAUAUUUUUUUUUGAAUAUUGACCUCUUUUUUUUUUUGGAAUUUCGAAGAAAAACUUCUAAAGAAAAAGAAACUAUUUUUGAAUUUUUGGACUUCUAUUUUAAAAUUAUGAAAGAAAGACUUCUAAAGAAAGUAUUUUUUGAAUCUUGAAUUUUCUUUUCAAUUUUUGAAAGAAGAAUGAAAAUAUUUUUGGAUUUUGAGAAGAAAUUAAAAGAAAAUGUUUUGGAUUUUUUUUUAAAAAAAGAAGAAAUUGUGGUCUUAAAGAAAGACUUUCUUAAAGAAGGAAGUAAAGGAAAAUAUUUUUGGAUUUUUUUGAAAAUUAUGGGCCGGAACCGAUGAGGUUUGCCUACGUAUCUCACAUCCGGUGAGAAUCAGACCCGCGUAGUUCGCCCGUUUUGACGGAACGGGAGAACAUGACACUUGAAAAUUUUGGCUCAUUUUGAAAUGACUUUUUUUUUCCAGAAUUUUGACAGAUUUUCAGAAUUUUCUAAAACCUACCUCUCCCUUUUUGUUUCUUUUUUCUUCUUCUUUCUCCUCUUUUUGAUUUUCUUUUUUUUCCUUUUUUUUCAUUUUCUUUCCCUAUUAUAGAAGCCAGUCAACAUGUAAGCCGAAACAGACAGAUAUGCAAGUAGCACGUAAGAUGCAUCAGUAUGGUCUUUUAAUUUGGGUACACAUGUCCUAGACGGACCCAACCCCUGUGUUGAGUCCCCACUGUCAAAUGCAAGUGAUGCAAACAAGCGUUCCUAAUAGGGAUCCGGCAUGAGUCUAUGUUAUUCUAGGUUUAAAAAUCUGGGUGUAUUGUUCUAGACCUGGCUUACCCGAGCGGACAGCUCGAGCCGAGCGGGGGCAGCGUACCGGGAAUACAGAAGCUUCACCGGCUUUGCAACUUGUCUGAACCUCGUUCUAAAAUUGGGAUAUGACUCUAACAGAAAAAAGUCACACGAAGUGCACACUUCCCAAAUGAUUUAGAAGACUCAGAGAGAAGAUGGUUUCGUAACAAUUUAUAUACGGUUCAAACAAUAUUAUAGCGGUAAAAAGUGACAUUUAGCACAUUAGGCUCAAACAUGUAAAAAAAAUCAGAUAAUAAAUAAAAGUCAAGUAUAACAAUUAUUCUAAGCUUGAAUUCUUGAACCCUGAACCAGAAGUUCUGGGUUUUUGUCCCCAGCAGAGUCUCCAGAGCUGUCACACCUCCUUUUUACUACACCCCGGAAGGGAGUAUAUAAGGGAGUUUUUCCAACUUAAAGUGACAAUCAAAACAUGAUCAUUUUAUUAAAAAUUCAGAGUCGCCACUUGGGAUAAUUUAUGGUGUCCCAAGUCACUGGUUUAGAAUCCCGAAUCGAGGAAAAGAUUGACUCUGUUUUAUAGUCCACGAACACAUAAAUCUGGGUAAGGAAUUCUGUUAACCCGGGAGAAGGUGUUAGGCAUUCCCGAGUUCCGUGGUUCUAGCACCGUCGCUCAACUGUUAUUUUUGGCUCAAUAUUUGAUUUUAAAAACACUUUUAGACCUAUGUGCAUUUUAGCUUUAAUCUUCUUUUAAUUAUUUUAAGGAAGAUUUCAACGUCAUCUAAAACACGUCCUUGGACCACGCCACAUGAAAUGCACCCGCAGUCCGAGACACAUUUUAUUUAACGUUGCUAAGAUUUGGAUUUGGGUCACAUGAAAUGCACACCCGAGUUUAGGAAAGUAAUUUUAAAUUACGCGCCUAAAGCAGCUACGCAUUUUCAACUUUGCGAGGGCCAUGGACUUAGGGGUUUUAUUUGGCAUGGCGUAACAUUUAUUUUACCCAACCAUUCAUUUAAUCAAAUUGGUCCAAACUAAAAUACAAUAAUACUUUUUAAGCUUAAUCUAAUCUUCUGGUUUUCUAAGACAACCAAAUGGCCAAACUAGCUUAAAUACUAACUAAAUAACUCAUUAAUUAGUAAAAGUACCUCAAAUUUAAAAAUAAUCAUCACAACCAACUUGUCAAAUUCAUGCCAACUUUCCGACAUCUUCACAUUCAAACAGAAUAACAAAACUAACAAAACACAAAAUAAUAAACGUUAAUAAAUGGCUAAACCAUACCUAGAACUAUUCAAAUGAACAAGAGCAAAAGAAUUGAAAUAGGGGUGGUUUUGGGACUGCUUUUCGGCAAUUUUGAGGUGAGUUUUGGCUGUUUUUUAGCUCGAUUUUUAUGGCUACUUCGCUACGUUUUUUCAGCUGAGUUUUGGACUGUUUCACGGGGAAAAGAGCUGGGUUUUCGAGCUGUUUCGGGGUCGUUUUUGUGGUUGAUUUCAGCUGCUUUUCUUUAGCUUUGCUGGCUGCGUUCUUUGAUGGGACAGAGGUAUUUUCACGGCAGUUUGAGUAGCUGUUUUGGUGGAGGAAAUAGAUCUCUUUGUUGCUAGUUUCAAUGGAGUUUCCAAGUGAGUUUAAGCUUGAUUUUCAUGGCCUUUUGGGAGGCUGAAUUUGUGGUGUUUUCAAGUGGAAAAGGGACAACAUUUUGAACUGGUUUGCUCACAGAUAGAGGUUGGUUCUUGGCUCUUAUCAUGGCUGGAUUUUUGGGGUAAGAUAACAAAGACAAUGACAGCUUUUUAUUUUAAGAACCUAAUCAGUAGAAAAUCAAAUAUCUUAUACAAUCAAAUUCAAACAUCAGGCACGAAGCCGAUCCUUGGAAUCCAAUUCAAUAUGACAAAUUAUUACUCUACUUGCUUUAGGUGUAAUCGUUCUCUAAUCAAAUUCAUAUAGCUGAGUUUAUAUACACUGGUUUCACGUUUUUGUUACCCGUCGUCAUGACCCUUCAUCAAAAUUAAACUUCUGCUUACUCAAACUAAUAAACAUAUAUUCAUCAUUCAAUAUGCUUAUCCAAGGUAAGGCAACAGAUUCAACCAAACAACAGAAAAAAAUGGAGCCAAAACAAAUCAAUAUUUCAUUCAUUCGAACUAGAAACAAUCAAAGAAACUGGAAGUGUACAUACCUAGUAUUUAAAACAAACUUGUGAGGCCAAAUAAGGCUAAGAAGGAGACAGAGUGGAGCUCAACUUCUACAUGAAUACAACAACAGCAGAUUUUCGAACUCAGCAAUUUUUAGAAACCCAGGAAGCGUUUGGUAAUCAAAACUCGCAAGCCAUCGAGUUGAUUUCGGAUUUUUCCCUUGAAAUUCCACUUUCCCCUUUUUCUUUUGUUUCUUUUUAGAACUUUGCUUUCUACUCAAAACACAUGCACAACUUCAAUUUAAGUCCAAAAUCAGCUCAAGCAACCAUGAAUUAUUGAAACAAAACAACAGAAAUCAGACUAGCUUUUUAAAUCUUUUUUUUUUGGUUUUUGAUUAUGUUUUUCGAGAGUUUUCGCCAAAUCUGGAAUCUUAAAUUCCAGUUGCUGCUAAGGCUUUUUGCGUGUAUAUGUUAGUGAAAUCAGAGAGGAAGGAGAGGGAGAAGGAUUAUGUGAGGGACCUGAGAGCUAAUUGGGAUGGAUUUUUCGUUUCAAAAGAGAGCAGAUAUGGAGCGCCGGUGCUCUGUAUUUUCCAAGGGUCUUAGGGGUCUAAAUUGUAUGGAAAAAUAUGAUCCCUUAAGUCUAGGUCUUGC
rnacentral:lncRNA from 1 species